UACGGAGGGAGCUAGCGUUGUUCGGAUAUACUGGGCGUAAAGCGCACGUAGGCGGCGCCGUAAGUCAGGGGUGAAAUCCCGGAGCUCAACUCCGGAACUGCCCUUGAAACUGCAGUGCUAGAAUCUUGGAGAGGCGAGUGGAAUUCCGAGUGUAGAGGUGAAAUUCGUAGAUAUUCGGAAGAACACCAGUGGCGAAGGCGGCGACCUGGGCCAAUAUUGACGCUGAGGUGCGAAAGCGUGGGGAGCAAACAGG
rnacentral:rRNA from 1 species